UUGGAAACAACUGAAGAGAAGGAAAAGACUUGAGACUAUAGUCUGAUCAUAGGUGAAUAUGAAAAUGAAAUUCCUUCUGUUUGUUUGGCAGUAAAGCUAGUUGCUGUGCUUGUCUUCCCACAUCUCACAGGGCACUCAUUCCUGCUCCUGUGCCACAGAUUGCUGCCUUCUCAGCUGUGCCAGUGCAAUGGGAUCGCUCUGGAAAUUAGACGAUGUGAAAAAAGAAGUUGGAAGCUGUUUCAGGGGAUGUAUAGAGAAUCUGGAAAAGCGGUCAGUUUAAACAAGCGCUCUUUUACAACUGGCAAGGCAGCACAAAGGAGCUUACACAGAGAAAAUGAGCCCUAUUGCACCCAUUCUGACAUUCCCACUGUUAACCUCUGAGCCCCAGCUAGUGACCAGAGUCAGCGUUAAUGAGGAGGAGAUGGCAGAGCACUUCUCUUGUAGCUGUUCUUUCUCCUUGUAACGCUGCUGCUGACCUCCUGAGAGCACGUCUCUGAAUAAGCAAGAUAUUAGUGUGGGAGGACUCACCUCACAUAGCAGUUCUGGGGAUUGCCUCGUGCCUUCCCUCGGACAUCGGUGCUUCUGCUAAUGAGAAGGAAGCUGGUGGACUCAGCCGUGCUGCAACACAGAAAAGGGGAAAGCUGGAAAGAGAGAGGAAGAGAGAAAGAGGACAGUAUGGUGUUAUUUCCAAAAGUCCUAUUUGUGGUUUCCUGAAUGGAGAAAAUAUUAGUAAAAACCUCUGAUUUGUCUGAGUUACAUCUGCACAUGAAUGAAGAUGAUGUUAAGAAGAAAACAAGGACAGAGGUGGAGCAUAGGAUCUGCAUGAACUGUAAUGGCACAGAACUGGGUCAAAUAAUACUUUGACUUUUCCUGGGCACAACUUCUCAGUGGCAAGAUCUAUUUAACUGGAAUGAGUAAAAGAAACUAGAAUAACUUAAAAAAUCAGAAUGGCUCUCUCCUUCCAGAAAAACUUGGUCUCUUUAUAUCUGGAUAAUUGAU